rnacentral:lncRNA from 1 species
UCCCAGGUCUACAUCAUCCCAGGUCUACUAACUACUCUACAUCAUCCCAGGUCUACAUCAUCCCAGGUCUACUAACUACUCUACAUCAUCCCAGGUCUACAUCAUCCCAGGUCUACUAACUACUCUACAUCAUCCCAGGUCUACUAACUACUCUACAUCAUCCCAGGUCUACUAACUACUCUACAUCAUCCCAGGUCUAUGUCAUCCCAGGUCUACUAACUACUCUAUAUUCUCUACCCACAACCGCUGUGUGUGUGUGUGUGUGUGUGUGUGUAACGUAGGCACAUGAGAGGGCAAGCGAGACAAAGCCUGUUAGAACAUUUUAGACCAUCUCUGGCAAGACUUACUGACUUCUGAACCAGAGCGGAAGUGUCUUUGAUCUUUAAA